ensembl:lncRNA
AGACAACAAUAAACAAUGCCUCAGUUCUUCCUUUCAGACAGCUUUGUAGGAUGCCAUACUUGAUGACCUAGGCUGUCAGUAUAAACCUUGAUGUUGGUCAGAGUGGAGAGGGCACUGUUCCAGCAAUGUCACCUAAAUCAAGCUUUUCUUGUCUUUCUAGUCAACUUGUUUUUCCAGAUAUUCAAUUGAUGUACCCUUAAAAAAGGAAUAAAUGUUGAGAUUAUGUUUUAGAGAAUUUAAAUAAAACAUUUAAUGAUUGCAAGAUCAUUUUAUUCUUAUUUCACAGAUAGGAAACUGAAUGCCUGAAAGGUAUUCAUUUUAACAAAGGACAGACUGAAAUUUAUAAGGCUGUCUUUUACCAUGGUACCAUAAUUCCUGACUACUGGAACAAGAUGCAUCAUUGUUUAUAUCCGGAUUAAAGGAUUUGGGGGAAGACAGUAUAACUCUCACCACAAGCCAGUGAGUCUUGCUACCAAUAUGAUUUAUCAAUUACAAUGUUAAGCUUAUCUGGCUAAGGUAAUAUUUGUUGAUUUUCUCUGUUGUAAACUUACUCUCUAUCCACUAUUCCAUUCCAUAUUCUUUGAAAGAAAGUCAUUAUGUACAAUACAUAAAAAAGGAAGAAUUGUGUUUCACCUUGUCCAGGUAGGAGGAUCUACAUAAAUUAUAUGGAAUUCUUUU